rnacentral:rRNA from 1 species
GCGGCAUGCCUAAUACAUGCAAGUCGUGCGAGAAACUACUUACGGGUAGUGGAAAGCGGCGGACGGGUGAGUAACGCGUAGAAACAUACCCCAAGGUGAGGGAUAAGCAUCGGAAACGGUGUCUAAUACCGCAUACUGUCUACGGACAAAAGAUUUAUCGCCAUGGGAAUGGUCUGCGUCUGAUUAGCUAGUUGGUAGGGUAAAGGCCUACCAAGGCGAUGAUCAGUAGCUGGUUUGAGAGGAUGAUCAGCCACACUGGGACUGAGACACGGCCCAGACUCCUACGGGAGGCAGCAGUGGGGAAUAUUGGACAAUGGGCGCAAGCCUGAUCCAGCCAUGCCGCGUGAGUGAUGAAGGCCUUAGGGUUGUAAAGCUCUUUUGUCCGGGAAGAUAAUGACUGUACCGGAAGAAUAAGCCCCGGCUAACUUCGUGCCAGCAGCCGCCGCUG